AGCGAACGCUGGCGGCAGGCCUAACACAUGCAAGUCGAACGAACUCUUCGGAGUUAGUGGCGGACGGGUGAGUAACACGUGGGAACGUGCCUUUAGGUUCGGAAUAACUCAGGGAAACUUGUGCUAAUACCGAAUGUGCCCUUUGGGGGAAGGAUUUAUCGCCUUUAGAGCGGCCCGCGUCUGAUUAGCUAGUUGGUGAGGUAAAGGCUCACCAAGGCGACGAUCAGUAGCUGGUCUGAGAGGAUGAUCAGCCACAUUGGGACUGAGACACGGCCCAAACUCCUACGGGAGGCAGCAGUGGGGAAUCUUGCGCAAUGGGCGAAAGCCUGACGCAGCCAUGCCGCGUGAAUGAUGAAGGUCUUAGGAUUGCAAAAUUCUUUCACCGGGGACGAUAAUGACGGUACCCGGAGAAGAAGCCCCGGCUAACUUCGUGCCAGCCGCCGCCGUAA
rnacentral:rRNA from 1 species